AUUGAACGCUGGCGGCAUGCUUUACACAUGCAAGUCGAACGGCAGCGCGGGCUUCGGCCUGGCGGCGAGUGGCGAACGGGUGAGUAAUACAUCGGAACGUGCCCAGUAGUGGGGGAUAGCUCGGCGAAAGCCGGAUUAAUACCGCAUCAGACCUGAGGGUGAAAGCGGGGGAUCUUCGGACCUCGCGCUAUUGGAGCGGCCGAUGGCAGAUUAGCUAGUUGGUGGGGUAAAGGCCUACCAAGGCGACGAUCUGUAGCUGGUCUGAGAGGACGACCAGCCACACUGGGACUGAGACACGGCCCAGACUCCUACGGGAGGCAGCAGUGGGGAAUUUUGGACAAUGGGCGAAAGCCUGAUCCAGCAAUGCCGCGUGUGUGAUGAAGGCCUUCGGGUUGUAAAGCACUUUUGGCGGGAACGAAAAGGACUGUGCCAAUACCACGGUUCGAUGACGGUACCCGCAGAAUAAGCACCGGCUAACUACGUG
rnacentral:rRNA from 1 species